rnacentral:rRNA from 1 species
UACGAAGGGGGCUAGCGUUGCUCGGAAUCACUGGGCGUAAAGGGCGUGUAGGCGGGAAGGAAAGUCAGAUGUGAAAUCCCCAGGCUCAACCUGGGAACUGCAUUUGAAACUCCCUUUCUUGAGUACCGGAGAGGAAAGUGGAAUUCCUGGUGUAGAGGUGAAAUUCGUAGAUAUCAGGAGGAACACCAGUGGCGAAGGCGGCUUUCUGGACGGUAACUGACGCUGAGACGCGAAAGCGUGGGGAGCAAACAGG